GACGAACGCUGGCGGCGUGCCUAAUACAUGCAAGUCGAACGCUUCUUUUUCCACCGGAGCUUGCUCCACCGGAAAAAGAAGAGUGGCGAACGGGUGAGUAACACGUGGGUAACCUGCCCAUCAGAAGGGGAUAACACUUGGAAACAGGUGCUAAUACCGUAUAACAAUCAAAACCGCAUGGUUUUGAUUUGAAAGGCGCUUUCGGGUGUCGCUGAUGGAUGGACCCGCGGUGCAUUAGCUAGUUGGUGAGGUAACGGCUCACCAAGGCCACGAUGCAUAGCCGACCUGAGAGGGUGAUCGGCCACAUUGGGACUGAGACACGGCCCAAACUCCUACGGGAGGCAGCAGUAGGGAAUCUUCGGCAAUGGACGAAAGUCUGACCGAGCAACGCCGCGUGAGUGAAGAAGGUUUUCGGAUCGUAAAACUCUGUUGUUAGAGAAGAACAAGGAUGAGAGUAACUGUUCAUCCCUUGACGGUAUCUAACCAGAAAGCCACGGCUAACUACGUGCCAGCAGCCGCGGUAAUACGUAGGUGGCAAGCGUUGUCCGGAUUUAUUGGGCGUAAAGCGAGCGCAGGCGGUUUCUUAAGUCUGAUGUGAAAGCCCCCGGCUCAACCGGGGAGGGUCAUUGGAAACUGGGAGACUUGAGUGCAGAAGAGGAGAGUGGAAUUCCAUAUGUAGCGGUGAAAUGCGUAGAUAUAUGGAGGAACACCAGUGGCGAAGGCGGCUCUCUGGUCUGUAACUGACGCUG
rnacentral:rRNA from 1 species